rnacentral:rRNA from 1 species
UACGAGGGGGGCGAGCGUUGUUCGGAAUUAUUGGGCGUAAAGGGUGCGUAGGCGGUUCCGCAAGUCCUGUGUGAAAUCUUCGGGCUCAACUCGAAGUCUGCACGGGAAACUGCGGGGCUUGAGUGUGGGAGAGGUGAGUGGAAUUCCCGGUGUAGCGGUGAAAUGCGUAGAUAUCGUGAGGAACACCUGUGGCGAAAGCGGCUCACUGGACCAUAACUGACGCUGAUGCACGAAAGCUGGGGGAGCAAACAGG